UUUUAUUGGGUCUAAGGGUCCGUAGCCGGUUUGAUCAGUUCUUCGGGAAAUCUGACAGCUCAACUGUUAGGCUUCCGGGGAAUACUGUCAGACUUGGGACCGGGAGAGGUAAGAGGUACUACAGGGGUAGGAGUGAAAUCUUGUAAUCCCUGUGGGACCACCAGUGGCGAAGGCGUCUUACCAGAACGGGUCCGACGGUGAGGGACGAAAGCUGGGGGCACGAACCGGAUUAGAUACCCGGGUAGUCCCAGCCGUAAACGAUGUUCGCUAGGUGUCAGGGGCGGCGCGACCGCUUCUGGUGCCGUAGGGAAGCCGUGAAGCGGACCACCUGGGAAGUACGGCCGCAAGGCUGAAACUUAAAGGAAUUGGCGGGGGAGCA
rnacentral:rRNA from 1 species